GCCAGAGCCAUAUCACCCUGCAGUUCUUGCCUGGUUUCCCACUGAAUUUAAGCAGGGUUGAGCCGGGUCAGUACAUGGAUGGGAGACCUCCUGAGAAAAACUAAAGUUACUGAGC
rnacentral:rRNA from 1 species